rnacentral:rRNA from 1 species
GACGAACGCUGGCGGUGUGCUUCACACAUGCAAGUCGAACGGGGUAGCAAUACCUAGUGGCGGACGGGUGAGUAACACGUGGGAAUCUACCAUUAGAUGGGGAAUAACAGGCCGAAAGGACUGCUAAUGCCGCAUAUGUAUGUGCCUCGACAGGGGCGAUAUAUGAAAGGAGUAAUACCGUCUGAUGAUGAGCCGCGUCCGAUUAGCUAGUGUAGGGUAAAAGCCUACCAAGGCGACGAUUCGGUAGGUGGUCUGAGAGGAUGAAUACAACCCACAAUGGGACUGAGACACGGCCCAUUACUCCUACGGGAGGCAGCAG